CCUACGGGAGGCAGCAGUGGGGAAUAUUGGACAAUGGGGGCAACCCUGAUCCAGCCAUGCCGCGUGUGUGAAGAAGGCCCUCGGGUUGUAAAGCACUUUCAGUGAGGAAGAACGCCUGGUGGUUAAUACCCAUCAGUAAAGACAUCACUCACAGAAGAAGCACCGGCUAACUCCGUGCCAGCAGCCGCGGUAAUACGGAGGGUGCGAGCGUUAAUCGGAAUUACUGGGCGUAAAGCGCGCGUAGGUGGCUUGAUAAGCCGGUUGUGAAAGCCCCGGGCUCAACCUGGGAACGGCAUCCGGAACUGUCAAGCUAGAGUGCAGGAGAGGAAGGUAGAAUUCCCGGUGUAGCGGUGAAAUGCGUAGAGAUCGGGAGGAAUACCAGUGGCGAAGGCGGCCUUCUGGACUGACACUGACACUGAGGUGCGAAAGCGUGGGUAGCAAACAGGAUUAGAUACCCUAGUAGUC
rnacentral:rRNA from 1 species